rnacentral:misc_RNA from 1 species
AACGCACAUUGCGCCCCUUGGUAUUCCGGGGGGCAUGCCUGUUCGAGCGUCAUUACAACCCUCAAGCUAUGCUUGGUAUUGGGCUCCGCCGCUAACCCGGCGGGCCUUAAAAUCAGUGGCGGUGCCGUCAAGGCCCUGAGCGCAGUAAAUAUCCUCGCUAUAGGGACCCGGUGGACGCUGGCCAGCAACCCCCAACUUUCUAAGUUUGACCUCGGAUCAGGUAGGGAUACCCGCUGAACUUAA